AGUGAGACAUUUAUUUAAGAAUCCUUGAGCAGCAGCACAGUUUCAUCGUGAUCUCUCUCUCUCCCUCUCUCUCUCAAAAGAUGCUUAGACACUAGAGCCUGUCUAAUGAUAAAUGGCAGAAUGAUGGUUUCAAGGCAACUCAAGAUGUCUAUGGAUGAAACCUUUGCUGAAUGACCUAUGCUACAAAGGACAGGAGAGGACAAGAUGCAGAAGAUUAUGCACCUAUUAAUGGUUGCAUGAUCUAAGAGAAAAUGUCCUUGAACCAAGAAAUCAUUGAUAUACUGAAUCUCUUAGAAAAUCUGCAGAGCAUUUGAGGAUCUAGAGAAGUAAAACACAAGGUUAGAAGAGGAAAGGAAUCCGAAAGACAAACCUAUACUGUUCAUGAUGUGGGACAGGUGUCAUCAUAACCUGUGACCUGUUCUUGUGAUCCUGACAAGUUACCUACAGAGACAGGAACACAUCACGGACUUAUUACUGGACAAUAUGCUGGAUAUAAUAUGGUCACACCUAAUAAACUGAAAUUGAAUAACAGGUCUGUACAAAAAUACAAAAAUAAAAAAAAAAAUCUUUUGUGGUAAGACCUUAGAACUUCAAGGCUGAGAUAUUUUUAUUGGUUUACGUAGCUAUAACCAACAGUCUUCUUGAUGCUCAUUCAAAUGCACUAUAAUAACUAGAUGAAACUGAAAAUAAUGAAGCCAACAAAGCAGGAAUACUUCAGUUUUGGACUUCUGUGGUCCAUAUUAUACAGGAUGAAAAUCAACAGUCCUUGGAAUCUGAAUAAGAAAUAGAAGUGCAAUCUAUAUGAAAUUCUGAAUGAUCUCCAAGAUGUAACAUACAUAAAGAGGCAAAGCUGUGGAAGAGGACUAAGGUGAGCAAGUCACAAGUAUGACAUCAUAGACCUGUAAAAAAUAACAAAAACAAAACAAAACAAGAAAAAAAAUUAUAUUGAUUUUUUUCUUAGUUUGAUGAAAGAUUUUUUUAGACACAAGAAUGACAAUUCUACUAACAAGAUAGUUCUUCCAUGUUUUAACAUUUGAGGGCUAAUAGUCUCUUUAAAAGCAAUUA